GAAAUUAGCUUCGGUUAAUUUUAGUGGCGGACGGGUGAGUAACACGUGAGAAUUCGCCUUUAGGAGGGGGAUAACGGAUGGAAACAUUCGCUAAAACCCCAUAUGCCCCUGGGUGAAACAGAGGAGAUAAGUAAUACUGACUCACCUCUGCCUGAAGAGAAGCUCGCGGCUGAUUAGCUAGUUGGUAGGGUAAAGGCCUACCAAGGCGACGAUCAGUAGCUGGUCUGAGAGGACGAUCAGCCACACUGGAACUGAGACACGGUCCAGACUCCUACGGGAGGCAGCAGUGAGGAAUUUUCUGCAAUGGGCGAAAGCCUGACAGAGCAAUACCGCGUGAGGGAUGAAGACUUACUGAGUUGUAAACCUCGGUGCCUUAAGGAAGAAGAUCUGACGGUACUUAAGGUGGAAAGCAUCGGCUAACUCCGUGCCAGCAGCCGCGGUAAGACGGGGGAUGCAAGUGUUAUCCGGAUUUACUGGGCGUAAAGCGUCUGCAGGUGGUUUCUUAAGUCUACUGUUAAAUCUUGAGGCUCAACCUCAAAUCUGCAGUAGAAACUAGGAGACUUGAGUAUAGUAGGGGUAGAGGGAAUUUCCAGUGGAGCGGUGAAAUGCGUAGAUAUUGGAAAGAACACCGAUGGCGAAGGCACUCUACUGGGCUAUUACUGACACUCAGAGACGAAGGCUAGGGGAGCAAUGGGAUUAGAUACCCCAGUAGUCCUAGCC
rnacentral:rRNA from 1 species